GGAAUAUUGCACAAUGGGGGAAACCCUGAUGCAGCAACGCCGCGUGAACGAUGAAGGCCUUAGGGUUGUAAAGUUCUGAUCUGGGGGAAGAAGAAGUGACGGUACCCCAGGAGAAAGCCCCGGCUAAAUACGUGCCAGCAGCCGCGGUAAUACGUAUGGGGCAAGCGUUAUCCGGAAUUAUUGGGCGUAAAGAGUGCGUAGGUGGUUACCUAAGCGCAAGGUUUAAUCUUGAGGCUCAACCUCAUUCUGCCUUGCGAACUGGGCUACUUGAGUGCAGGAGUGGAAAGCGGAAUUCCCAGUGUAGCGGUGAAAUGCGUAGAUAUUGGGAAGAACACCGGUGGCGAAGGCGGCUUUCUGGACUGUAACUGACACUGAGGCACGAAAGCGUGGGGAGCAAACA
rnacentral:rRNA from 1 species